rnacentral:ncRNA from 1 species
UAACGACAAAGGCAAACCGCCUGCAAGGGUGGGACGCAAAACCUCCGGUCCCGGGCACGACAGAUGCUUAGGAUAGCGGGGUUGCCGAA